ensembl:snRNA
GUGUUGUAUGAAAGGAGAAAAAGUGAGCACUCCCAUUGACAGGAUGAAAGAGGUACUUGGACAUACAAAACACUGCCACCCACUUCAUGGUAUCUAACCAUGGCUUUGUGGGGUUUUUUUU